rnacentral:lncRNA from 1 species
CCAAAUAUGUAUCAUUUAUUGCCAUUUCUACCCUUCAUCUUUUGAAAAAUCCUACCCUCACGAUGAGAUUAUCUCUUGAUAUAAAUCAGGCUCCCUCCUCGACGUCCACCAUGAUAUGAUCACUCUAGACACCUACUAGCAAAACCUCUUCAAACCAUGGGAUAAUUUAUGGGUGAAAUACCAUGGGAUCAGCCGUACAUGAAACUUUGAAUAUGUAUGAAU